AUGAACACGGUGGUUUUGCGAGGUUGGCACGGUGCCAUCCACUCAGCGCCGGUGCCAAAGAGGGCGUGUAGGCAGGGUGGCAUUACAGAGGAGAGAGGAGGAGAGACAGAUAACGAGAGAAAAGAGAGGCAUCAUCCUGCUGCCAAUUCUCCAAACGAAAUGUUCCCGAGCAUUGGAUUCAAAAGUUGGAGCUCUUUGAAGAUACAUCCGCCAGCUCAUCAGCAUGGCAACUGUAAAAGCGCAAAACUCUUUGCCCCAACCUGCCAUCCUCCUGCGUUUCACCGUCUCCUUCGUGACUGUGCCAGGCUCUAAGUAGGCACAUAUCCCCCAGAGAGUCAGCAGCACAUGCCCCGAUAUCGAUGCCACUCGACGCGGGUAUGACGGCAUCUGCUCUGUAUUAAUGGAGAUAUGCGACUUGUCUUGUUAUUCUCGUUGGCACGCACAAACCUUCGGCAGCGUGCCAGGAUCUCUGCGCCACCGCAUGCCGCUGGGAAGCUGGCGGUGACUUGGGAAUGGCAGAGUGCCAGCAUGUUCCUGCGGUAACCAGCCCCCGACGCGUGCCACUUGGCAAAGACAAAGAGCCCUAGGGACGAAAUACAAAACAAGAUUGAAAAACACAGUGAUCCGACAGCUUAAUUAACACUUGCAGAGUUUGUUGGGUUAAUUAGUGUGACAGAUUUGGUGAGGAGGAAUGUGGCAGGAACACUUGUGAGAACAAAAGUGAUGGGCAAACCAGAGUGAAGGAAUGUCAACGGAUGCCAGCGAUCCGCGUGCCUGUGCCAACAUCACUCGACAUUCAACAGGGUUUGUAAAAGGAUAAAUGGAAAGAAAAGGAAGAAUAAAGAAAGAGUUUGUUUCAAAUGUUGGACAUCAGAGAUGGUAAAGAUGGUGGACAGGACAGAAGAAACACCUGAGGAUACAAGCAAACAGGGAGGAGCUAAAGAAAACCACAGGCCUUGACUUAUACAGCGACUCAACAUAUCAAUCAAAUCACAACUAUUGUUAUGGUGUAUGACUUUAUCUACUGCAAAAAUCCAGAACGUACUUGCACAAAUAUACACUGAAGAGUGAAUGUUCAUUAGUACGUCGGGAACACCAAAAGGAUAAAAGACGGGUAUAAGCAUGGUGAAGUUUACCAGAUGGAUGCACAACUUUUGAAAUUUCAAGAACCUACUAGAGAUUUCCAUGUACAAGUAGAGGUUUUGUGCUUGAAUUCCUGUUCUGAGGAUCCUCGAUCCUUCCUGUCGAGUCAAGAGAGUGAGUGAGAGAAUUCAGUCUCUCACUGGAUGCGUUUGACAUUGUAGAGGAGUAUAUAAAUAAUGCAGAUUUUCUCUCCUCCUCUUCCUUCUCGUGCUUUCUGAAGGAACAGAUUUACAGACAUUGAAUCUUUCAUUGGCAUCGCUCUCGUUAAGCGACGGAGGAUUUGUUUUCCGAAACGGGCAUUGUUUUCAGCGUAACCUUCAAUAAACAAGUUCAAAUUAGCCGUUAACAACCUCGCGAAAUGGGCCGAUUAAUUUGCGGUUCCUGUUGUUUUUUUGCUUUUAUGUCUUUCUUUGUACCGAUUGCGGACAAUUAUGUACGGAUAUGCUAAUCGUGCUGUAUUAAUGAGGUUUGUAUCGCUGGGAUUCUCUUCUUUACUCCUGUGGGGAUCUUAAUUUUACCUCAUCUUUAUUAUGUAAAUGGAUUAUGCCAAAAAACUGCGCACACACAAACACACACACACACACACUAACACAAAAGGGACGAGUCAAAGGAAGAGGGAAUAAGGCAAUGGUGGGAGGGAUGGGGUGGGGGUGAAAAUGGAGGACACGCUCCCUUACCAGCUUCAGCACCAAAACGCAAGAAACUGCAGAGAAAUCUAAAAGGAUUUUUCUACUCAGUGCACCGCAUACCAAGACGCAGGACAAAUGCAUUGAAUUUUCAGUGCUUUUUUUAUUUUUUCUAGAUAUUUCUGCUGCAGCAGUCCUGCACUGGAGUGACAGAGCCAAGGAUGGGAUUUACUAGAUGAAAAGAGAGAGAGUGAGAGCGAGAGAGAAUGGUUAAUAUCCUGCGCUUAAUCAUGGCACAUGAGAUUGGCUGUAUGCAUAUCUCAUUUGCAUCUCAUUAAAUUGCUCGUGCACCUGCAGAGAGAGGGGAGAGGGGAAGAGGACAGCGCAACGAGAAAUGAGGGUGUUGUUUUAAAAUGCAGAUUUUAUGUUGAAUUAUAAAAUGUUAUUUAUUUUUUUUAAAGUACACUGUGCACUUUAAAAAGGCUGUUUUUUGGGUGUUAUUCUGAUUAUGCAUUUCAUUAUUCUAAUAAGGUAUUUAAUAUAUAUUUAUUAUAUAUUGUCUCAGUCGCAUUAGAUAUCCCAUGCCAUAGCAUUGUGACAUUAAAUUCUCUCAGGAAGGAUAAAAUUGAGAUUUUAAGAUAUUGAGGCAUAAAACAAUCCAUAUGUUUCAGAGUAUGUAAAGUCCACCACUGGUCACCAGUUUAAUAUAUGCAUGAUUAGUAUGCAGCUCUUUGCAUUCUUUUAAUAGAACUCAGGGUGAAGACUAUUGUCUCUGAUUCCAGGAUGUGCCAUCUGCCUGGCUGCAGAGACUGGCCUUUCUCUUUGUGUUCCGCACAAUGGGCUAUUCUACACUGGACAUCCACACAUAACUCAAAUAAAUCAUGCCCGAGCCAACAGACCACAAGAGGACCACUGCAAUAUUUUCCAUAAAAGAAAGGAGAAGACUCCAUGCGGAGUAGGGGAGAGAUUAGGAAAAUUAGAAAUUUUCCAUUACAGAAAUAUAAUGACAAACACAGUUGGAGGAAAGAAAUUGGAAUAAGAGAAGAACAGGAUAGGACGGGAAAGAAAAUGUAUAAUAAUUUAAAUUGUACUUAAAAUAUUACUCACAUUCACUUCUCAUGCUCAUUGUAACAUCAUUUUUUCUUACAUAUUUCGUAAAUAAAGUGCAAAACAGCGUCCAACCUCCAGACCCAA